GCAGCAGUGGGGAAUAUUGCGCAAUGGGCGGAAGCCUGACGCAGCGACGCCGCGUGGGGGAUGACGGCCUUCGGGUUGUAAACCUCUUUCGGCCUUGACGAAGCUCUUCGGGGUGACGGUAGGGGUAGAAGAAGCACCGGCCAACUACGUGCCAGCAGCCGCGGUAAUACGUAGGGUGCGAGCGUUGUCCGGAAUUAUUGGGCGUAAAGAGCUCGUAGGCGGUCUGUCGCGUCGGUCGUGAAAACUUGGGGCUUAACCCUGAGCUUGCGGUCGAUACGGGCAUGACUGGAGUUCGGCAGGGGAGACUGGAAUUCCUGGUGUAGCGGUGAAAUGCGCAGAUAUCAGGAGGAACACCGGUGGCGAAGGCGGGUCUCUGGGCCGAUACUGACGCUGAGGAGCGAAAGCGUGGGGAGCGAACAGGAUUAGAUACCCUGGUAGUCCACGCCGUAAACGGUGGGCGCUAGGUGUGGGGGGCCAUUCCACGGUCUCUGUGCCGCAGCUAACGCAUUAAGCGCCCCGCCUGGGGAGUACGGCCGCAAGGCUAAAACUCAAAGGAAUUGACRGGGGCCCGCACAAGCGGCGGAGCAUGUGGAUUAAUUCGAUGCAACGCGAAGAACCUUACCUGGGUUUGACAUGCACCAGACGCAGUCAGAGAUGGCUGUUCCCUUGUGGUUGGUGUGCAGGUGGUGCAUGGCUGUCGUCAGCUCGUGUCGUGAGAUGUUGGGUUAAGUCCCGCAACGAGCGCAACCCUCGUCCCAUGUUGCCAGCGCGUUGUGGCGGGGACUCAUGGGAGACUGCCGGGGUCAACUCGGAGGAAGGUGGGGAUGACGUCAAGUCAUCAUGCCCCUUAUGUCCAGGGCUUCACACAUGCUACAAUGGCCUAUACAGAGGGCUGCGAGACCGCAAGGUGGAGCGAAUCCCUUAAAGUAGGUCUCAGUUCGGAUCGGGGUCUGCAACUCGACCCCGUGAAGUUGGAGUCGCUAGUAAUCGCUGAUCAGCAACGCUGCGGUGAAUACGUUCCCGGCCUACACUCAAGCGCCCGU
rnacentral:rRNA from 1 species